UACGUAGGAUGCAAGCGUUGUCCGGAAUUAUUGGGCGUAAAGGGUGCGCAGGCGGUUUUUCAAGUCAGAUGUGAAAUCUCCCGGCUUAACUGGGAGGGGCCAUUUGAAACUGGAGGACUAGAGUGCAGGAGAGGAUAGCGGAAUUCCCGGUGUAGUGGUGAAAUGCGUAGAUAUCGGGAGGAACACCAGUGGCGAAGGCGGCUAUCUGGCCUGCAACUGACGCUGAGGCACGAAGGCUAGGGGAGCGAACAGG
rnacentral:rRNA from 1 species